GGCACCUAACGCUGUUGACAACACUGUAAUUAUUUUACUAUAAAUAUGUGUUAUUUAAGGAUUUUACUAAAGAUUAUUAUUAUGACUAUCGUUGAGAACUAAUAAAAAUAUCGAGAAUUAGUUUCUCUAGAGAAUUUGAUUCUCUUUAUUUUAGUUUCUUCUUGUUCUAUAUCAAUUUGGCAACGGAUCUCAAACAUCUAACUUGUGCUUUUGCCUUGGAAAUUUUCCUUAGCUUAAAAAAAAAAAAAGAACA
rnacentral:misc_RNA from 1 species